rnacentral:tRNA from 1 species
GAGGGUAUAGUUCAGUGACAGAGUGCUUGCUUAGCAUGCACCUGGCCCUGGGUUCAAUCCCCAGUACCUCUG